rnacentral:miRNA from 1 species
UGUCUCACAACGAUGUCCCUGA